rnacentral:rRNA from 1 species
UACGUAGGGUGCAAGCGUUAAUCGGAAUUACUGGGCGUAAAGCGUGCGCAGGCGGUUAUAUAAGACAGUUGUGAAAUCCCCGGGCUCAACCUGGGAACUGCAUCUGUGACUGUAUAGCUAGAGUACGGUAGAGGGGAUGGAAUUCCGCGUGUAGCAGUGAAAUGCGUAGAUAUGCGGAGGAACACCGAUGGCGAAGGCAAUCCCCUGGACCUGUACUGACGCUCAUGCACGAAAGCGUGGGAGCAAACAGG